rnacentral:rRNA from 1 species
UACGUAGGGUGCAAGCGUUAAUCGGAAUUACUGGGCGUAAAGCGUGCGCAGGCGGUUUUGUAAGUCUGUCGUGAAAUCCCCGGGCUUAACCUGGGAAUUGCGAUGGAGACUGCAAGGCUAGAAUCUGGCAGAGGGGGGUAGAAUUCCACGUGUAGCAGUGAAAUGCGUAGAGAUGUGGAGGGACACCGAUGGCGAAGGCAGCCUUCUGGGCCAACACUGACGCUCAUGCACGAAAGCGUGGGGAGCAAACAGG